rnacentral:rRNA from 1 species
UACGGAGGGUGCGAGCGUUAAUCGGAAUACUGGCGUAAAGACGCACGCAGGCGGUUUGUUAAGCUUAGAAUGUGAAAGACCCCCGGGCUCAACCUGGGAUGGUCAUUUAGAACUGGCAGACUAGAGUCUUGGAGAGGGGAGUGGAAUUCCAGGUGUAGCGGUGAAAUGCGUAGAUAUCUGGAGGAACAUCAGUGGCGAAGGCGACUCCCUGGCCAAAGACUGACGCUCAUGUGCGAAAGUGUGGGUAGCGAACAGGAUUAGAUACCCGCGUAGUCC